rnacentral:piRNA from 1 species
UGUUCUUACUUCAAAGAUGCCUGCCUUGCC